UACGUAGGUUGCGAGCGUUAUUCGGAUUUACUGGGCGUAAAGAGCACCGAGGUGGUUUCUUAAGUUGGAUGUGAAAUCUCCUGGCUUAACCGGGAGGCGCCAUUCAAAACUGGGGAGCUUGAGGUCAGCAGGGGAAGGUGGAAUUCCCGGUGUAGUGGUGGAAUGCGUAGAGAUCGGGAGGAACACCAGUGGCGAAAGCGACCUUCUGGGCUGCACCUGACACUCUAGUGCGAAAGCGUGGGGAGCAAACAGG
rnacentral:rRNA from 1 species